ensembl:snRNA U6 U6 spliceosomal RNA
GUGCUCACUUCAGCAGCACAUAUACGAAAAUGUUGAUGAUACAGAGAAGAUUAACAUGGCCCCUGUGCAAAGAUAACAUGCAAAUCCGUAAAGCAUUGCAUAUUUUU